GCACAGCUCCGCUUCCUCGUUAUCCCUAUGCUAGCUACUUGAAGAAAAACUCUGAGCUCAAGACUCAAUGUUUCAAUCUAUCGUCUAAAAGCUUUGAGGUCGUUUGUGGCAUCUUUGAAGAAAAGAAUCAAUCAAUCGCAUUUCUCAAUUCAAGGGUGUUUUUGGUUUUUUCAAAAGGACAGAACUGUUGUUGGCAAGUGGACUAAGCAAUUUCCAGUUUCUAGGUAUAUCUUGAGUCAUUGAUUACCAGUUU